AGUGGUGCAGACAGGCUCCUAAAAGAUGAGCAGUGUCCCUGAGGAGAAGACUGAGCAGGAGAGAGCCCUUACUUUGGAAACCCCUGGUGGUCAGAUGUAAGGUCCUGUUUCCCAAUUGGUUCUUAAUCUAUCAAUACAAAUGCCAUGGGCCAAUUGCUGAGUGGAAGGAUAGGUGGGACUUCCGGAACCCCACAGGAAGCUGGGAGAGGCAGGAGAAUUUAACCAUGCUUCAGAGAGAGAAAAGCCAACCAGCCGUGUGAGGUCUGGGGCUAAGCUGCCACCAGGCUGUUCUGCAGAUUGAGGACAUUGAGGUGGGUGAGCAACUGAAGUUGAGUGCAGAUUUAGAGUGCUGAGCAGGGAGUACUGAGAAGGGGAAGCUAACUGAGGUAGAUCGGGGGUGCCCAGCAGUUGAGCCAAAAAAAGGAAAAAUGAAAUUGAGCAACUGUGUGCGUCUGUGUUUUUCAUCUGUAGAUUGAAUAUUCUCUGGGCAGGGUACUAUGGUAGCAGGUAACAUGGCCUGUUCCCUGAACUUGGGCAGGAUUGGAAAAGCUACACUCAACAGGCAGAUUUCUGAGCUGUAUUUCCACCCCAUCCCACCCCUUAGUUCUGCAAAGAUUUCUUUCUGUAGGUUUCAGACAAGCUCUAAACCUAUGUCUGAAGAUGCCUCUGACUUUUUGCCUUCUCAGUUCCCAACUCACAACCUUGUCAUGCCAUACUGCGUGUUACAAUGAUUUUGAUAAAGAGAAGAAAUUUUAAUGCUUACCAAAUACAAACAAAACCAAAAAUCAAAACAACAACAAAACCCCCAAACAGAAACCACAUUGGAGGUUGAUUGGGUAGAGACGGCAGGACAUCAUGAACUUUCUAGAAGGUUAUCAUAGUCUUAAAUGCUUUGCCCAGCUAAUAGUUCUUUCUUGUGGGAAAGAGAGUGAUUGAAACCUUUCUAGCCUUGAUAUUUUUCAAAAUAUUUCUGUAGUGUCAGAAUUUUGUAGUUAUUUGUUAUAUGUGAAACCUAAUAGGUAUAUGAAUAUGUACUUUAGAAUACACUUAAUGUGUUAUUGUUAUUAAAAUUAUAUUUGUAGUUCACAGGUCCCAGGAACUAGGGAAGACUUAUGAAGCAUUACCUAUCCAAUGCUGUUCUACUGUGAAACACCAGCAUCAGUAGGAGCUUGAGGGAUGUGCAGAAUCUCAAGCAUUUGAACAAAUCUGUUGAUUUAUCAGCACAUUAGCAUUUAAAAAUCUCUAGACCAGCUAGCUUCUUGGUCCAGUGGGUGGGGGAUCAUUUGGAAAAAGUUCAUACAUAUCUUCAAACACCAAACUGCUUCCCCAGUUUGCAAUCUUCCAGAACUCAGUUUGGUUUUCUAUAUUUUUAUUCCUUAGCAAUUGUGUUCUAGGUCUCAUGGCCACAUGGUUAAGUGAGCAUCUUCCAAAACUUCAUCUUUCAACACAGUUCAAAGCAACAGCAAGUCUACAAUCUUCUCCUGCCCUCUGAGAUAUAUGCCUAAGGUCAAAGGAGACAACAAGAGUAGGGGUGUCCAACACCAGUUUCAGAUCAGAGCCUUGAAAAUGCACCAAAGAAUCCAUCAGAUCUGUAAGUGACCUCAUAUGUGAGUAGUCUCUAUAAAUGAAGAGGCAAUGGCAUUUCACCCAGGCUUAAGUCUACCCACCAUUGUGUGGAGCAUUGUGUGAAGAGGAAGUCCCUCCUGUGUGCCCAAAGGACAAUGUGAAGAGUCAACAAUGUGUGGACUACAGAAAAGCCUUGUCAGAAUCUCAACAAGUGCUUCAGAAUCAUGACCGUAUGUCAGAGCCAGUGCUUUGUAAGAAACAACAAAAUGAACAGGAUUUCUCCUCUAAUGAAGCUCAAAAUCGAACGGGCAAACAGAUGUUAAAUAAUUUAAAUUCAUGUGAAGCACAUUAUAUAGAAAUAUAUGAAGUACACAAUAAGAGAAAAUGAUACAAGGAUGUCCAUUUAGACUUGGAUGUGGGACAAUAAAAUGAUGUGUUGUGAAAA